CACAUGCAAGUCGAACGAAGCCUUCGGGCUUCGUGGCGCACGGGUGCGUCACACGUGGGAAUCUGCCCUUAGGUCCGGAAUCACAGUGAGAAAUUACUGCUCAUCCCGUAUGAUGCCGCAAGGCCAAAGAUUUAUCGCCUCAGGAUGAGCCCACGUCGGAUUAGCUCGUUGGUGGGGUAAGGGCCUCCCAAGGCGACGAUCCGUAGCUGGUCUGAGAGGAUGAUCAGCCACACUGGGACUGAGACACGGCCCAGACUCCUCAGGGAGGCAGCAGUGGGGAAUAUUGGACAAUGGGCGAAAGCCUGAUCCAGCAAUGCCGCGUGAGUGAAGAAGGCCUUCGGGUUGUAAAGCUCUUUCGCACGCGACGAUGAUGACGGUAGCGUGAGAAGAAGCCCCGGCUAACUUCGUGCCAGCAGCCGCGGUAAU
rnacentral:rRNA from 1 species